UACAGAGGGGGCAAGCGUUGUUCGGAAUUACUGGGCGUAAAGGGCGCGUAGGCGGCCGCCUAAGUCAGACGUGAAAUCCCUCGGCUCAACCGGGGAACUGCGUCUGAUACUGGGUGGCUUGAGGGAGACAGAGGUAAGCGGAACUGAUGGUGGAGCGGUGAAAUGCGUUGAUAUCAUCAGGAACACCAGUGGCGAAAGCGGCUUACUGGGUCUCUUCUGACGCUGAGAUACGAAAGCUAGGGGAGCGAACGGG
rnacentral:rRNA from 1 species